UACGGGGGGGGCAAGCGUUGUUCGGAAUUACUGGGCGUAAAGGGCUCGUAGGCGGCCAACUAAGUCGGACGUGAAAUCCCAGGCUCAACCUGGGAACUGCGUCCGAUACUGGAUGGCUUGAAUCCGGGAGAGGGAUGCAGAAUUCCAGGUGUAGCGGUGAAAUGCGUAGAUAUCUGGAGGAAUACCGGUGGCGAAGGCGGCAUCCUGGACCGGCAUUGACGCUGAGGAGCGAAAGCUAGGGGAGCAAACGGG
rnacentral:rRNA from 1 species